AGCUUCCCCUUCCUGCCGCAAAGCCCAGGCCCGCAGCGUGUCCUGUGCACCAGGGACAGUGCCGGGUCUGGCUGCUCACAGCUGUCACCAGGGGGCUCUGGCUGCCUCUGAAGGAGACAAGGCUGCUUUUGCUUUGCCCCUGCUCCGGAGACUGGGUUUGAGCUUUCUCUGGCUGUGGCUGCUUCCUGCACUGUGACUGUCCCAGGACUUGAAAAGACUUAAGUGCGGGAAGAGGUUCAAGCGGAGCUCAGAUCUGAGCAAGCCUCGGAGGAGCCACUUGUACAACAGACCUUAUCACUAUCCUGACUGUGGUAAGAGCUUCAGCUACAGAUCCCACCUUACUGAACACCAGAGGUCCACCCCAGGGAGCGACCCUGCAGCUGCUCCAUGUGUGGGAAGAGCUUCGGCCGACCUCAGAUCUCUGGACACCAGAGCUCCCCACGACUGAGAUGCCCUGCAGGUGCUCCAUGUGUGGGCAAAGCUAGAGAGCAAAGGUCUCCCUCGUGUCCCAGUGCAAAGCCCACACAGGUGCGGAGGCCGAGGGAGCUCUUGCUGUGAGAUAACAGGUCUGUGCACAUCUGAAGCGAAGCAGGAUGAGCCGGUGGGAGCAGCCGGGGAGGUGGGGGUGGCUGAACUUUUGGUUUGUCAUGAGCAGGGAGCAGCUCUGGGAACAGAGGAGGGUGCAGGGAGCUGGGACUGAACAUCCAGGGUUAUUUGGGCAUCUGCUAUCAUAGUCUCAUUUUUUGAAGCAGUGUACAGCUACCCAAAUGACCUUAGGCUUUGUUUCAGGGCCCAGUGCAAAUGCUUAACCCUGCUUCUGCUAUCUAUAUACUGAACAACUGGUCUGAGGUGACUGUAAUUUUCCAGUAGUUUUCUAGUGAGAAACUGAGACACUUACCGCUCCAACCAUUAACUGGGCUGGGACGGCCCUCCCCACUGCUGCCAAAUUCCCAAACCCUGAGCCCUGUCAGCAGGUUGGGAUCAGGUCACAUCCCCUCUUCCCACCUCCAGCAUCAACCCUUCUCCCUUCUCUGCGCAGGGCUGGGUCAAGUCCACACCCCACCAUGGCUUAGGUCUUCUUAUGUAUGUUCUCACAUAUGUCCUCUUUUCCACAACACGCUUUGCAAGUCAGAACAAUGGAAAGCUUCCAACCACUUUAAAAAUAGUGAAACACUAUAUUUAGUUACAAAUUUGACCUACAUUAAAAAAAGAAAAGUCUAUUCUGCUAAGGAGCCUUCUGUGGUCUUUAGGGCUUGAUUUGUUACUUGCCAGUUUUACACAAAGUAUAUUAUAAAAACGUGGGUAAGAUGGGAUCAGAAUCAGACCAUCCCUUAUUAUAAAAUCCUUUACUUUUUGCAAAAUUUUACAUAAGCAGCUUUUUUAACAUGAGAUCCUGCCUAUUUGAAAAGCAGAACACAGUUACAGAUAGCAUCGUUCUGUCUAUACACAAGCCCAAAGCAAAAAUAUUUUGCUCUCAAUAUUUAUUUUAUUUCUAUUAAAAUCUCUUGUGAUUUUAGGGACCAGACUCAUGUCUCUGAAUGCCUGGGUUUGGCAAUGUUUCCAUGGCACCCACCAGCAGUCUGGCAAGUACUUCACUAGACCUCUAGCUUUGGAGUCUCGUUUUUGAUUACCUCUCUCACAAAACGACCUUACCAAGAAAUUAAACUAUGUUUUGUAUCAUAGGUGCAGUCUCACAGAUCCAAAAAUGAUAUGUGCACACACAGAAUCAACCUUUUCUGGACAGCAUAAUCAAGAUGAUACAACAAUUAAGGACAGGAAAUUAGGAGUACCAUAUCUUCUUUGUUUCUCGUCAUGGGGUGAGGCCAGUUGUUCCCAACAUCAGCUUUCACUCACUGUUGGACUAGAACAAAGCAAUGGAGCAAUUCUUGAGUUGCAAAGUACUCAGGAAGACUCCAAACAGUCAAAUGUUUUGAACCCUGUGGACUCCUAGUGAAAAUCUCUGGGUUUAUCUGGACUCAUGUCAGUGUUUGCAAACCUAGCAGCGCUCAUAUCGUGCAUCCCCGCAGAAGGAGCUCCCAGCGCCCUGGGGCUGUGGCCCCUUGCUGAGAACCACCAGACUCAGUUUACCCACAUGGAGAAACUCAUGCAGCCAAAUAAUCCCAUUUUAAUGGGGGGGGGAGGGAGGAAGGGCAGGGCUGUAAAUUGGCAGCCUGCCAUGGCCGAGCCAUAUUUGGGCUGGGCAAGUCUCUGGUCAAAGAUGUCCAGGAGAGUUCCCCAGUGGCACAGAGGUGUGCCAAGAGGUUGCCCAAAACAGGAUAUCUAGCUAUAAUCCCAGUCCAAAAUCCAGUUCCUGAUUCGGGUCCAUAUACUUAGUAUAGUGGCUUGCCUGCUGUCAGUGGGCAGCCUGGUACAGCCAAACCGCGCUUUGGGCUGGGCAAGUCUCUGGUCAGAGAUGUCGAGGGAAGUCCCUCAGUGGCGUCAACAGGAAGUUUCAGGUGUCCCAAAAAGUAUUUUGCCCCAUAAUCCCAUUUUAAUAUGACCUUCAUUUUGGGCUCUGUACUUGAUACAAAAUAAUUUUUUACAUAUUAAUUAGUAAAUAUGCAUAGUUAAUAA